rnacentral:tRNA from 1 species
CAAAAGAUAAUUUAAAAUAUAAAAUAUUAACUUUGGAAGUUAAAGAUUCAAGCUUUUGAUCUUUUGA